rnacentral:rRNA from 1 species
UACAGAGGUCUCGAGCGUUAGGCGGAAUCACUGGGCUUAAAGCGUGUGUAGGUGGAUGCCUAAGUACCUUGUGAAAUCCCACGGCUUAACCGUGGAACUGCUUGGUAUACUGGGUGUCUUGAGUCACUCAGGGGCGAGCGGAACAAAUGGUGGAGCGGUGAAAUGCGUAGAUAUCAUUUGGAACGCCAAUGGUGAAAACAGCUCGCUGGGGGUGCACUGACACUGAGACACGAAAGCCCAGGGGAGCGAACGGGG